UACGUAGGGUGCAAGCGUUGUCCGGAAUUAUUGGGCGUAAAGGGCUCGUAGGCGGUCUGUUGCGUCGGGCGUGAAAACUCAGGGCUUAACCCUGAGCCUGCUUCCGAUACGGGCAGACUAGAGGUAUGCAGGGGAGAACGGAAUUCCUGGUGUAGCGGUGAAAUGCGCAGAUAUCAGGAGGAACACCGGUGGCGAAGGCGGGUCUCUGGGCCGAUACUGACGCUGAGGAGCGAAAGCGUGGGGAGCGAACAGG
rnacentral:rRNA from 1 species